rnacentral:rRNA from 1 species
CUACGGGACGCAGCAGUGGGGAAUAUUGGACAAUGGAGGAAACCCUGAUCCAGCAAUGCCGCGUGUGUGAAGAAGGCCUGCGGGUUGUAAAGCACUUUCGGUUGGGAGGACUGCUUCUAGCACUAAUAUUGUUGGAAGUUGACGUUACCUUCAGAAGAAGCACCGGCUAACUCCGUGCCAGCAGCCGCGGUAAUACGGGGGGUGCAAGCGUUAUUCGGAAUUACUGGGCGUAAAGCGCGCGUAGGCGGCUAGAUCAGUCGGGUGUGAAAGCCCCGGGCUUAACCUGGGAACUGCAUCCGAUACUGUCUAGCUUGAGUACAGGAGAGGAGAGUGGAAUUCCACAUGUAGCGGUGAAAUGCGUAGAUAUGUGGAGGAACACCAAUGGCGAAGGCAGCUCUCUGGCCUGAUACUGACGCUGAGGUGCGAAAGCGUGGGGAGCAAACAGGAUUAGAUACCCUCGUAGUC